UACGAAGGGGGCGAGCGUUGUUCGGAAUUACUGGGCGUAAAGGGCGCGCAGGCGGCUCAGACAGUCAGAUGUGAAAGCCCCGGGCUUAACCUGGGAACUGCAUUUGAUACUACUGAGCUUGAGUACGGGAGAGGAUAGUGGAAUUCCCAGUGUAGAGGUGAAAUUCGUAGAUAUUGGGAGGAACACCGGUGGCGAAGGCGGCUAUCUGGACCGUAACUGACGCUGAGGCGCGAAAGCGUGGGGAGCAAACAGG
rnacentral:rRNA from 1 species